rnacentral:rRNA from 1 species
UACGAAGGGGGCUAGCGUUGCUCGGAAUCACUGGGCGUAAAGCGCACGUAGGCGGAUAUUUAAGUCAGGGGUGAAAUCCCGGGGCUCAACCCCGGAACUGCCUUUGAUACUGGGUAUCUUUGAGUCCGGAAGAGGUGAGUGGAAUUCCGAGUGUAGAGGUGAAAUUCGUAGAUAUUCGGAGGAACACCAGUGGCGAAGGCGGCUCACUGGUCCGGUACUGACGCUGAGGUGCGAAAGCGUGGGGAGCAAACAGG